UUUCAUACGCCCUUCUCCAUGUAGAUAUUGAAAAUAAUGGGGGUGCUGUUGCAAUAGUCUUUGCACGUUUGAGGUCUUGUACAUUGUUAUGUUGCAGAGGCACGGCUUACGUCUGCUUAAAAGGAUUAUAUUAUGCAUUUCUACAAAUAUAAAGGUAAAAAAACGCAUACGGAAGGUAGUAUAACAUCGGGAUGAACCAUCACCGUAUUUUUACAUAUUCCAUACAUUUCCUUUUGGAAACGCAAAAGACAACAUGUAGUUAAGGAUGACAUAUCAAUACUACUGGUUAAUUUAUAGACGUGAUUAGCGGGUUCUGUUUGUUUUUAUCAUUUUAUCUAUUUGCUCCCAUUCGCAUUUUGUCGCAAGUGUUACGUUGAAUAAAUAGUUAAAAAUAUUCCUUCAAACGCAAGGCUUGAUCUACUGGUUCGACUUUGAUGUUGAAAACACGACAUAUUUUGCUGGGUGAUUAUCCUUUCGAUAUAUGACAAUAAUGCAUUGAUGUACCCUCCGUUAGUUUUACUUUAAAUGUGCUUCACGUCUCAGAAAUCUGCACAGGACAUUAAUACAGUGUUAUUAUUGUCAAUCUGCUACGAAUUAAAUUUAAACCGUUUGCGCGGUGCAUCUGCUGCAGGCACUGAACCCCUGGGUUUGCUGUGUUGGGACGGGUACAGAAAGGCUGUCAGAUGUUUCUGAUCUAAACACUGUUGCAAUCGGUGAAUUGGACUUAAAAUCUGUUUUCAUCGGUUUCAUCUCGCAUCCCACUUUCCCAUCGACUGGAUUGUGCGUUUUGUUUUUCGUCGCGAUAAUAAAUAGAACCAUUUUCUUCAUGCCCACAUCGUGUAUUUCACAGCCGUUUCCAGCUGUUAUCUUAUAGGGCGUCUGCGUUUUGCGUGCGAAUCUCCUCCCACCUGCGGCACGGAUUAAAUCGGGUUCAUGACCGAACAAUAUCCUUAGCUCUUAUCACAUAUUUCAUAAUGAUUCUUAUAUUUAGACAUAUAGACGUUUAUUAUAGUUGCCCAUUGAGAUUUUAGAUUUCCGGAGUAACCGAUAGUUUAUUUUUUUAUUUGUUUAUUUACACGAACGUAAUCCUGCAUCAAUGCAUUAGGUAACAGUGGUCCACCUGGGAUUUAACCAUUAACAGUUCCUCCACAAGUAAUAACCGUCACACGUGAUCGGGACCCACAGUGUGGGGUAAACACCAUGUUGGCAUUUGUUCCUUUUGCCAUUACAAAUCCCUCAUCCUCCUCCUCUGAGUAAGACCAAACUAGGACUGGUGCACCAGAGAGAAAGGUCACAUGAUUCCCUGCUGCUAUGUGACCAGAUACUGUUGGUGUUCUGCUGGGGAUGGUCGAGAUACUCUCUGGAGUGACCUCAGUCUCUGGCUCACUGCAGCGGCACUGGCACGCUGCUGAGUUUACCUUGCUACCCGCUUCCUAGUGCCUGCUGUAAGGAGAGAGCACACUGAUGUGCUGCUUCGGAAUGCUAUACCUGUGGUUUAUGGUUAUAAAAGCAGACUUCAGCUCAACCAAUAUUUUGAAAGUAAGAGAGAACAACCCAGAGGUUUAACUGAAGGAGCAUUUUUUUCUUUAUAGUGUGUAGGGUUGCACAUUCAGUUUUGUUGGUGCAUUCGUGGCCGUGUUUCUCGUGUGGUUUUACUGGGAGUGAUGUGUGGUUCAGCGGCUUCAGAUGCUGUGUCUGUGAUUGAUAGGCUGUCUGUUCAAAUCCUGUGGUCGACUGAGUGAUUCCACUGCUGUCCCCUUAAUUGCUCUCAAACAGACAUUGCUAUGGAUAAAAUCAAGCAGAGCAGAAGGGCACCACAUCUUCCUCACGGUCUCUCUGGCUGGUCUUCGUGUCACCCUUCGUAUCACACUCAUCUUCACGGCUGAGAUGAGUGUGAGAGAGAGGGUGCAGCACUCUGUCAUCCUGCUUGUGGUGUGACCCUGCCUCAUGAUGUCACUAAUCACAUACUUAUGACUGUACUCUCAGUAUUUUAAAAUAAAGCGCCUUUUUUUAAAAGCUCUCCUAAUUAUAUUAUAACCAGGAACACUAUAUAACAGCUAUUUUCUGUUUAGUAUAGUUUCAUAAUGUGGGUUCACACAAUGUUUGUUUUCAAAUAUCUGGAAAAGUUUGUGACAAUGAACCUCAUUAUCUCAGGGCUGUAAGGAGAUUUCUACUGCUAAAAGGAGCAGAAGUCAACUUCAUCAUGAGAUUAUUCCCAGAUAACAGUGAUACUUCGAGCCAUGUGAACAGUGAACACUUUUCCAGAGCCUGUAUUUUGUGUGAGGAGGGGUGUGAGGUUAACCUAUGAAGCACAGAGCCUGUAUUUUGUGUGAGGAGAGGUGUAAGGUUAAUCUGUGAAGCACAGAGCCUGUAUUUUGUGUGACGAGAGGUGUGAGGUUAACCUAUGAAGCACAGAGCCUGUAUUUUGUGUGAGGUGAGGUGUGAGGUUAAUCUGUGAAGCACAUAGCCUGUAUUUUGUGUGAGGAGAGGUGCGAGGUUAAUCUGUGAAGCACAGAGCCUGUAUUUUGUGUGAGGAGAGGUGUGAGGUUAAUCUGUGAAGCACAGAGCCUGUAUUUUGUGUGAGGAGAGGUGUGAGGUUAAUCUGUGAAGCAAAGAGCCUGUAUUUUGUGUGAGGAGAGGUGUGAAGUUAAUCUGUGAAGCACAGAUCCUGUAUUUUGUGUGAGGAGAGGUGUGAGGUUAAUCUUUGAAGCAGAGAGCCUAUAUUUUGUGUGAGGUGAGGUUAAUCUGUGAAGCACAUAGCCCGUAUUUUGUGUGAGGAGAGGUGUAAAGUUAAUCUGUGAAGCACAGAGCCUGUAUUUUGUGUGAGGAGAGGUGUGAGGUUAAUCUGUGAAGCACAUAGCCCAUAUUUUGUGUUAGGAGAGGUGUGAGGUUAAUCUGUGAAGCACAGAGCCUGUAUUUUGUGUGAGGUGAGAUGUGAGGUUAAUCUGUGAAGCACAUAGCCUGUAUUUUGUGUGAGGAGAGGUGUGAGGUUAAUCUGUGAAGCACAUAGCCUGUAUUUUGUGUGAGGAGAGGUGUGAGGUUAAUCUGUGAUGCAGAGAGCCUGUAUUUUGUGUGAGGCAGGCAUAGCAACGGCCAGGCAUUAAACCCAGAACAUGGGCUGAGAGUUUCUCGUGAACCAGACCGGGGACAUCAGCCAAGGGCUAUUAACCUCUUGUUUUGGGUCCCAGGGGGUGUAUGUCACUCAGAGAAGGUGUCAGUGUUGGCAGAGGAGGACUUGGGCCCAGUUAGAUCCUUACAGCUUGCAGGCAUCUUCAUAUGUUGUUACACGGUGGUGACACAAAUCCAUUUAGCUAGUAGGAGGAGGUGUGGGAGCUGACAGAGUGCCAUGUAACCUGAUGGGGGCGCUGUGUUUCUAGGAGCUGACAGGGGUGCUGUGUAAGAUCAUGUGUAACUAGCUAGAGAAGAUCUGACUUUUCAGCUUGAACUUCGGGGCAGUUGGGUCUCUCACCUUGAGAAUGCCUGACAUGUAUUUUGGUCCUGAGAUAUUAAGUGAUUCCUAGACAAUUAACAGCAUAGAUCCUGCAGUGAGAUGUGAGCUAAAGAGAGGACUGAGAAUGGGUGUGAUGUGCUUGCUUGGUCCAGAAUGCCAGCAGCAUUUCAAACAGCUUGCAUCGCAUAAUGGUCUCUUUAGUACACCUUUCUGAUAGUCCACCCUGCUGAUGAUGAAGACGUGAAUAAGGUUCUCCAGUUUAUUUUCAAAAAAUUCUCUUCUGGCUAAACAAUGUAGUGUAUCCAGGGAAUACGAAUUCUAUCUGCGUUCUUCAUGUGGGAAGAUCUGAAAUCCUGGGAAAGCUAUUAUUGGCCAACCUGUUCUGUGGCCUAGCCAUGUGAACACAAGCUAGUAAAAAAAAAUGCUGCUUCGUGGCACAGUGCCCUAUGUGUUGUGCUCUUAAGGGGCCCUGACCUUUCCCAGUAAAGUUGCUGCAUGUGUGCCAUAAUUGUCUUACUCAAAGGCUGACCUCUGCUGGUUGACUGGCCAUUGCAAUGAAUGCAUGGGAACCAGAUAUUUCCAGAUAUUAUCAGAUAUUACGUGGACCCACGAGACUUAGUCGCACAGUGAUAGACAUCCAGUAUUCCAUCCUGGCUGCAGACCCUGACAUAGGAGCUGUCAUGUGAGGGCAGCUUCUCAAGGGAUAAAGAGAGUUUAUUGUCAAGUGUGCAGUAGCAGUCGGUUAGGCUGUGCUAUGAGAAUCUCUCUCUGCCUGUCCUUCCGGCUCCCGAUAAACACAAAUUAACCAAAAAACACCAGCACUUGCUUGCUGCACAGUGUAGCCGUCUGCCAGCAGAACCACGAUAAAACUAGGAUUUAAAAAAGCAGAAUUGUUUUAAAAUAAAGAGUGGUCUCUUAAUUUUUUUUCCACGGUUGUACAUGGGCAUGCUCUUCGGCUACCAUGGUGCCCCCUGCUGUUCCUUCUGAGCUGUUCCUUCUCUCUCCACG